rnacentral:rRNA from 1 species
ACGGAGGGUGCAAGCGUUAAUCGGAAUCACUGGGCGUAAAGCGCUCGUAGGCGGUUUGGUCAGUCAGAUGUGAAAGCCCUCGGCUUAACCGGGGAACUGCAUUUGAUACUGCCAGACUUGAGUGUCGGAGAGGGUGGCGGAAUUCCGGGUGGAGGUGUGAAUGCCGGAAUUAUCCGGAGGAAGACCAGGGGCGUAGGCAGCCUCAAGGACGACAACUGACGCUGAGGAUCGAUAGUGUGUGGCGCCGCCAG